UACGAAGGGUGCAAGCGUUGUUCGGAAUUACUGGGCGUAAAGGGCGCGUAGGUUGGUUUGUAAGUCUAAUGUGAAAUCCCCGGGCUUAACCCGGGACGUGCAUUGGAAACUGCAGAUCUUGAAUGCUUGAGAGGGUGGUGGAAUUCCAGGAGUAGAAGUGAAAUUCGUAGAUAUCUGGAGGAACACCUGAGGCGAAGGCGGCCACCUGGCAAGACAUUGACGCUGAGGCGCGAAAGUGCGGGGAGCAAACAGG
rnacentral:rRNA from 1 species